rnacentral:rRNA from 1 species
AACGAACGCUGGCGGCGCGCCUAACACAUGCAAGUCGAACGAGAAGGCGUAGCAAUACGCUUGUAGAGUGGCGAACGGGUGAGUAAUACGUGGGUGACCUACCCUCGAGUGGGGAAUAACCCGCCGAAAGGCGGGCUAAUGCCGCGUACGCUUCCGUCCUCACGGGGACGGAAGGAAAGCUGUACCGUGGGUACGGCGCUCAAGGAUGGGCUCACGUCCUAUCAGCUUGUUGGUAGGGUAACGGCCUACCAAGGCUACGACGGGUAGCUGGUCUGAGAGGACGAUCAGCCACGCUGGCACUGCGACACGGGCCAGACUCCUACGGGAGGCAGCAGUGAGGAAUAUUGCGCAAUGGGCGAAAGCCUGACGCAGCGACGCCGCGUGGGGAGUGAAGGCC